rnacentral:sRNA from 1 species
UUUAAGCCUCUGAGCUCAGGGAUGCAGAGGCAUUGAGUUACUACCAAGGGCCUGAUCUUUAGCAGGCAUCUGUGUUAAUUGUUUCAAAAGGUGGUGAUCAGCUUUACAGCCUAUUAUAAAGGAGAUUUUUGCCUACUAUAAAACUAAUCCCCCUGAAAGAGUGAGUAAACAUAAUUUUUUGUGUGUUGACUUCCACAAGGGAAGGAGUUGGCACUUACACUCUGACUUUUGAUUCAGUCGUCCCUCUUGAGCCAUUUUUGCAGGGGAUCAGUUUGGAGUGGGCGUUAACAAUAUUAUUUUUUUUUUCCUCUCCAGAACACCUUCCACCAUGACCACCUCAGCAAGUUCCCACUUAAAUAAAGGCAUCAAGCAGGUGUACAUGUCCCUGCCUCAGGGUGAGAAAGUCCAGGCCAUGUAUAUCUGGAUUGAUGGUACUGGAGAAGGACUGCGCUGCAAGACCCGGACCCUGGACAGUGAGCCCAAGUGUGUGGAAGAGUUGCCUGAGUGGAAUUUCGAUGGCUCUAGUACUUUGCAGUCUGAGGGUUCCAACAGUGACAUGUAUCUCGUGCCUGCUGCCAUGUUUCGGGACCCCUUCCGUAAGGACCCUAACAAGCUGGUGUUAUGUGAAGUUUUCAAGUACAAUCGAAGACCUGCAGAGACCAAUUUGAGGCACACCUGUAAACGAAUAAUGGACAUGGUGAGCAACCAGCACCCCUGGUUUGGCAUGGAGCAGGAAUACACCCUCAUGGGGACAGAUGGGCACCCCUUUGGUUGGCCUUCCAAUGGCUUCCCAGGGCCCCAGGGUAAGUCUCCUUGGGUUAGAGGUGAAAUUCCCAGAAGUGUCUAACUUCAGGAGUGCCCC